rnacentral:rRNA from 1 species
GAUGAACGCUGGCGGCGUGCCUAAUACAUGCAAGUCGAGCGAACGGACGAGAAGCUUGCUUCUCUGAUGUUAGCGGCGGACGGGUGAGUAACACGUGGAUAACCUACCUAUAAGACUGGGAUAACUUCGGGAAACCGGAGCUAAUACCGGAUGAUAUUUUGAACCGCAUGGUUCAAAAGUGAAAGACGGUCUUGCUGUCACUUAUAGAUGGAUCCGCGCUGCAUUUGCUAGUUGGUAAGGUAACGGCUUACAAAGGCAACGAUGCAUAGCCGACCUGAGAGAGUGAUCGGACACACUGGAACUGAGACACGGUCCAGACUCCUACGGGAGGCAGCAGUAGGGAAUCUUCCGCAAUGGGCGAAAGCCUGACGGAGCAACGCCGCGUGAGUGAUGAAGGUCUUCGGAUCGUAAAACUCUGUUAUUAGGGAAGAACAUAUGUGUAAGUAACUGUGCACAUCUUGACGGUACCUAAUCAGAAAGCCACGGCUAACUACGUG